GAUGAACGCUGGCGGCGUGCCUAAUACAUGCAAGUCGAGCGAACAGACGAGGAGCUUGCUCCUCUGACGUUAGCGGCGGACGGGUGAGUAACACGUGGAUAACCUACCUAUAAGACUGGGAUAACUUCGGGAAACCGGAGCUAAUACCGGAUAAUAUAUUGAACCGCAUGGUUCAAUAGUGAAAGACGGUUUUGCUGUCACUUAUAGAUGGAUCCGCGCCGCAUUAGCUAGUUGGUAAGGUAACGGCUUACCAAGGCGACGAUGCGUAGCCGACCUGAGAGGGUGAGCGGCCAGACUGGAACUGAGACACGGUCCAGACUCCUACGGGAGGCAGCAGUAGGGAAUCUUCCGCAAUGGGCGAAAGCCUGAAGGAGCAACGCCGCGUGAGUGAUGAAGGUCUUCGGAUCGUAAAACUCUGUUAUUAGGGAAGAACAAAUGUGUAAGUAACUAUGCACGUCUUGACGGUACCUAAUCAGAAAGCCACGGCUAACUACGUG
rnacentral:rRNA from 1 species